CAGUUGUUGAGGCUAUGACGUGCGGCCUUCCAACAUUUGCCACUUGUCAUGGUGGUCCGGCAGAGAUAAUUGAACAUGGUGUAUCAGGAUAUCAUAUUGAUCCAUAUCAUCCUGACCAGGCUGCUACCCUACUGGCAGAUUUCUUUGAGCAAAGUAAAAGGGACCCCAAUCACUGGACUAAAAUCUCUGCUGCUGGACUUCAGAGGAUCUAUGAAAGGUUAGGGGAGUAGUAGCUUCUGCUAUAACGGUUUGUUUAUCCAAAUCUCGAAUCAUUCUGGGAUUUGUCAGAUUUUUGUGGACACAUUCUUGCUGAAGUGAUUGUUUUGGACAUGCUCUCUCUGAUGCUUAAUUACAUGGAAUUUUUACACUAUAGGUACACCUGGAAAAUUUAUUCAGAGAGGCUGAUGACACUGGCAGGGGUUUAUGGCUUCUGGAAGUAUGUUUCAAAGCUCGAGAGGCGUGAGACCCGGCGAUAUCUUGAGAUGUUUUACAUUCUUAAAUUCCGGGAAUUGGUAAGUUGCUGGAAGACAAUUCUCAUCAUGCUGGGUAUUUUUGUCACCAUUUCAAUUUAGCUUCAUCCUCAUACUUCAAUUUUUCAAUGUAAACGACAGUCCUGAGCUGAUCUGCAUAUAUCUUGAAUAACAACACUUUAUACUGGUAAAUUAAUGCUGAAAUACAAGGAUGCAGAUAGAUGAUAUAAUGCUUGGCCGAGAAAAAGGGGAAAAAAUAUAGUUGGCACCUGGGUGUAGGUUUGGGAAACUGAGAUAGCAUAUCUAUCGUAUAUUGAAAAGUUUCAUCCCACCUUGCUUUGUUAAAAUGGAUCAAUCUUACUUCCACUAACAAUUUGACAACGGAUUGUUUUCAUAUCUGUUAGUUUAACAUCACAGUCAGAAAGAUCAUGUCUUGAGUAUUUUGUCUGCAGCCUUUUGCCGUUUAGCUUUGUUCUUUGCAUGAUUCCCCAGUUUUGCUGGAUAAUUUUGUUCGGAUGUCAGGCUUUGAUCAGACAAAAUUUCUACAUGAGGGCUUUAUUUAUUCCCUGAUAGAAUUAGUCCCAAUAUGACGUAUCAACUAUAUUUUGCACUAGAUAUGCAAAGGUGGAAAAUGGAGACAACACCGAUGGUAAAAGGUUUUUGUUUUCAAUAGGCAAAUUGUUAUUCCCUCUCUGUGUAAGCUGAACAUGAUCAAAUUUUCAACAAGACUAAGACGUUUCUAUCUCAAUUGCCAUGUCGAUCAAUUUCUUAAUACCUGAAUGCAAGCAUGUAGGUUAAUCUCGCUACUUUUCUUCUCUAAUCGAGGAAGAAAGCUUGCGAAGACAGGGUAAGUUUCAACCGUG
rnacentral:lncRNA from 1 species